GUGCCGAUUUGAUUGAUUCUAGUCAAUCACAAGAAUCCACAAUCAGGCAGCUACAUUUAGCUCUCCUAUCCACCAAAAGAUUGCUUCUUCAGUGCCUUCCUCAGAUUUCUCUCAUGAGGUGCGUGAGAUUAUCUCAAGACUCUGGCAGUUUAAGUGGGAGAUUAUUGCAUCGUUUUGGCCUUACCUCAUAAUUAUGGCCGCUUUCAUCACCUUUGUUUUCUGGAACGGGA
rnacentral:misc_RNA from 1 species